AUGUGGUCCAGGGAGUGGGGUUUCGCAAGGAACAAGUCAUGGAUGUCGCUGGGUCUGCUGGUGGCGGCAAUGGUGAAUUGCGCCGAAAACACUGGCGUGAAUAACCUCUACAUCAUCUCCGUGAGGGGCAUCAAGGGUCACCUCAACCAUUUCCCUUCCAUCUGCAUUGCCGACAUGGUCAUGGCCACCGUCAAGAAGGGGAAGUACGAUCUGCGUAAGAAGAUUGUUCCCGCCAUCAUCAUCCGCCAGCGCAAGCUGUGCCACUAAAAGGAUGGUGUCUUCAUGUACUUUGAAGGUAAUUGCCAGAUUGCCUCCCUCCUCUUCGAUCCUUCACCCGAUCUCUUUGCAACUUUGAUGGUAGUACACGAUGAAUCUUGA
rnacentral:rRNA from 1 species